GUAAACUCACUGAGCAGGCCCUCAAUCCCUCUGUUACUGUGUCACUAUACCCCACUCCCUCUAACAUGUAAACUCACUGAGCAGGGCCCUCAAUCCCUCUGUUACUGUGUCACUAUACCCCACUCCCUCUAACAUGUAAACUCAUUGAGCAGGCCCUCAAUCCCUCUGUUACUGUGUCACUAUACCCCACUCCCUCUAACAUGUAAACUCACUGAGCAGGCCCUCAAUCCCUCUGUUACUGUGUCACUAUACCCCCA